UGUGAACUCGAAGAGUAGGGCGGGACACGUGGUAUCCUGUCUGAAUAUGGGGGGACCAUCCUCCAAGGCUAAAUACUCCUGACUGACCGAUAGUGAACCAGUACCGUGAGGGAAAGGCGAAAAGAACCCCGGCGAGGGGAGUGAAAAAGAACCUGAAACCGUGUACGUACAAGCAGUGGGAGCACCUUCGGGUGUGACUGCGUACCUUUUGUAUAAUGGGUCAGCGACUUAUAUUCUGUAGCAAGGUUAACCGUAUAGGGGAGCCGCAGGGAAACCGAGUCUUAACUGGGCGUUAAGUUGCAGGGUAUAGACCCGAAACCCGGUGAUCUAGCCAUGGGCAGGUUGAAGGUUGGGUAACACUAACUGGAGGACCGAACCGACUAAUGUUGAAAAAUUAGCGGAUGACUUGUGGCUGGGGGUGAAAGGCCAAUCAAACCGGGAGAUAGCUGGUUCUCCCCGAAAGCUAUUUAGGUAGCGCCUCGUGAACUCAUCUUCGGGGGUAGAGCACUGUUUCGGCUAGGGGGUCAUCCCGACUUACCAACCCGAUGCAAACUACGAAUACCGAAGAAUGUUAUCACGGGAGACACACGGCGGGUGCUAACGUCCGUCGUGAAGAGGGAAACAACCCAGACCGCCAGCUAAGGUCCCAAAGUCAUGGUUAAGUGGGAAACGAUGUGGGAAGGCACAGACAGCCAGGAUGUUGGCUUAGAAGCAGCCAUCAUUUAAAGAAAGCGUAAUAGCUCACUGGUCGAGUCGGCCUGCGCGGAAGAUGUAACGGGGCUAAACCAUGCACCGAAGCUGCGGCAGCGACACUAUGUGUUGUUGGGUAGGGGAGCGUUCUGUAAGCCUGCGAAGGUGUGCUGUGAGGCAUGCUGGAGGUAUCAGAAGUGCGAAUGCUGACAUAAGUAACGAUAAAGCGGGUGAAAAGCCCGCUCGCCGGAAGACCAAGGGUUCCUGUCCAACGUUAAUCGGGGCAGGGUGAGUCGACCCCUAAGGCGAGGCCGAAAGGCGUAGUCGAUGGGAAACAGGUUAAUAUUCCUGUACUUGGUGUUACUGCGAAGGGGGGACGGAGAAGGCUAUGUUAGCCGGGCGACGGUUGUCCCGGUUUAAGCAUGUAGGCUGGUUAUCCANNNNNNNNNNNNNNNNNNNNNNNNNNNNNNNNNNNNNNNNNNNNNNNNNNNNNNNNNNNNNNNNNNNNNNNNNNNNNNNNNNNNNNNNNNAUCAAGGCUGAGGUGUGAUGACGAGGCACUACGGUGCUGAAGUAACAAAUGCCCUGCUUCCAGGAAAAGCCUCUAAGCAUCAGGUAACAUCAAAUCGUACCCCAAACCGACACAGGUGGUCAGGUAGAGAAUACCAAGGCGCUUGAGAGAACUCGGGUGAAGGAACUAGGCAAAAUGGUGCCGUAACUUCGGGAGAAGGCACGCUGGUGUGUAGGUGAAGUCCCUGCGGAUGGAGCUGAGACCAGUCGAAGAUACCAGCUGGCUGCAACUGUUUAUUAAAAACACAGCACUGUGCAAACACGAAAGUGGACGUAUACGGUGUGACGCCUGCCCGGUGCCGGAAGGUUAAUUGAUGGGGUUAUCCGUAAGGAGAAGCUCUUGAUCGAAGCCCCGGUAAACGGCGGCCGUAACUAUAACGGUCCUAAGGUAGCGAAAUUCCUUGUCGGGUAAGUUCCGACCUGCACGAAUGGCGUAAUGAUGGCCAGGCUGUCUCCACCCGAGACUCAGUGAAAUUGAACUCGCUGUGAAGAUGCAGUGUACCCGCGGCAAGACGGAAAGACCCCGUGAACCUUUACUAUAGCUUGACACUGAACAUUGAGCCUUGAUGUGUAGGAUAGGUGGGAGGCUUUGAAGCGUGGACGCCAGUCUGCGUGGAGCCAACCUUGAAAUACCACCCUUUAAUGUUUGAUGUUCUAACGUUGGCCCCUGACCGGGGUUGCGGACAGUGUCUGGUGGGUAGUUUGACUGGGGCGGUCUCCUCCCAAAGCGUAACGGAGGAGCACGAAGGUUAGCUAAUCCUGGUCGGACAUCAGGAGGUUAGUGCAAUGGCAUAAGCUAGCUUGACUGCGAGCGUGACGGCGCGAGCAGGUGCGAAAGCAGGUCAUAGUGAUCCGGUGGUUCUGAAUGGAAGGGCCAUCGCUCAACGGAUAAAAGGUACUCCGGGGAUAACAGGCUGAUACCGCCCAAGAGUUCAUAUCGACGGCGGUGUUUGGCACCUCGAUGUCGGCUCAUCACAUCCUGGGGCUGAAGUAGGUCCCAAGGGUAUGGCUGUUCGCCAUUUAAAGUGGUACGCGAGCUGGGUUUAGAACGUCGUGAGACAGUUCGGUCCCUAUCUGCCGUGGGCGCUGGAGAAUUGAGGGGGGCUGCUCCUAGUACGAGAGGACCGGAGUGGACGCAUCACUGGUGUUCGGGUUGUCAUGCCAAUGGCACUGCCCGGUAGCUAAAUGCGGAAGAGAUAAGUGCUGAAAGCAUCUAAGCACGAAACUUGCCCCGAGAUGAGUUCUCCCUGAGACU
rnacentral:rRNA from 1 species